rnacentral:rRNA from 1 species
UACGUAGGGUGCAAGCGUUUGUCCGGAAUUAUUGGGCGUAAAGAGCUCGUAGGCGGUCUGUCGCGUCUGCUGUGAAAACUCAGGGCUUAACCCUGAGCUUGCAGUGGGUACGGGCAGACUAGAGUGCGGUAGGGGAGACUGGAAUUCCUGGUGUAGCGGUGAAAUGCGCAGAUAUCAGGAGGAACACCGGUGGCGAAGGCGGGUCUCUGGGCAGUAACUGACGCUGGAGGAGCGAAAGCGUGGGGAGCGAACAGG